UACGGAGGGUGCGAGCGUUGUCCGGAAUCAUUGGGCGUAAAGGGCGCGUAGGUGGCCCGGUCAGUUCGUGGUGAAAGCGCGGGGCUCAACCCUGCGUCGGCCAUGAAUACUGCCGCGGCUGGAGCACUGUAGAGGCAGGCGGAAUUCCGGGUGUAGCGGUGGAAUGCGUAGAGAUCCGGAAGAACACCGGUGGCGAAGGCGGCCGACUGG
rnacentral:rRNA from 1 species